rnacentral:rRNA from 1 species
GGUUGCGAUCAUACCAGCACUAAUGCACCGGAUCCCAUCAGAACUCCGCAGUUAAGCGUGCUUGAGCGAGAGUAGUACUAGGAUGGGUGACCCCCUGGAAGUCCUCGUGUUGCAACCC